rnacentral:misc_RNA from 1 species
AUCUUCCUCUUCCUGGUGACCUUAGGUAAACAGUCAUCAUCCACAAUAAUCCUAACAUCAUCUCCAACAGAAACCCCUGCAUUGAUAGAUCCUUUAGUAUGUCUCAUCUCAGGUGACAAUGUGAGUCCACCAACACAUGAUUCAAAACUACCGCCAAAAGUACCGGCCCUUGGAUCACUAUUACUUAAACAAUCUGCAGUUUGCAAGUCAUUGUCAACCGCAG